UACGUUGUCUUGCCCUCUUUUCUCAAACCAUCACGAGCCUCUACAUUGAUCCGUUGAUUUCCUUUAACACCAACCUUUGCCAGAGCCUCCUGAGUGUGGAAGGCUUUUGGAGGAAGGCAGGGCUGUCUGUGCGGAUUUUCUGAAUGGGAAAGCAAGCUCUCACGAGGAAGACUUACUUUGAUUACGCUGGCCUAGGAGGGCGGGAGAGGAAUCUGAGGUCAUCACACCUUUUCCCUGGGUAUUACUGAUUUUCAAAUAGCUGUUUCCUGGUGCGGUAUUCGCACUGAAGGUGUCAAGAGGUCAAAAGGGCUCUGGUGUGAAUUUGCAACCUCUGAGAGAGUCAUGGUGUCCAGUCGGUGAGGGUCUGAGCCAUUCUUGCCGUGGUGGUAGGAUCCUUUUCUUGUGAGGGUUUCCAAAGCUUUACUCUUAUUGGAUGUCAGCAUAGAAAGCCUGAUGCUGUCCUUUGUGCCUGCCAACUGAAUAUUCAGCUGAAGCGUCACUGGCUGGUGCUUCUUGACUUGUGAAGGUAAGGAGAUGGGAUGGAGGGGUUUGUGAUGACUCCCAGAGGUGGAGGCCCAUGGCCAUCUGAGAUUUCCUAUAGUGGACACUCGUGCAGACCCCUGGGGCGCCGGCUGAGUGAACUGGUGCUCUGGGGUGAGCCUGGGGUGGGGUCUGUCUGAGCCAUGGACAGAAAAGGCUUUGAAGGAGGCAGAAGGGGGCACUGAGCGGAGCUGCUAGGUGGCAGCCAGUUCUGCCCUGGUUCCUGCACGUGUCACCCCCUCGGUACAUCAUUUGUUCCAAAUGUUCUGUCGCAAGCUUAAAGUUGACAGCAUUUGGGAAAUGGGAGCUGAGCUGGUCUGACUCCUUUGUGUGGCGACAUGCACCUGACACCUGGAUGGUGGCCUUCAGCUCUUUGCCUACCUCAUCCACUGUAGGAGUGGUUUUGAUUCCCUGAGCUCUCACCCUGGUACACCUGGAUGCUGGAGUUUGAUCUGAGGAAACCUGCCUGGUAUCCCUGUUGGCUCAGAGCCUCGUGUGCCUGAAUUUUGAGCUCAGCGUUCUCUUUCUGUAGUAAUGUCAUGCAUGCCUAAACUCUGAAUUUCUCAGAGUUACUGGUCACCAGCCAAAGGAUUUUGUGCAUUUGGGUGUUGAGCCAAAAUCAUGCCAAGGAAAAUAAAGAAAACAUCAUCACCUGUCGCUGGGAACCAGCCACAUCUGGAAUAUCAGCGGCCCUUCAGCCCAUCCCCAUGCACAAGGCUGGGCUGCCCUUGCCCAUCUCAGGUGGAGGGGCCUUGAAAAGUCCUCCAGGAGUUGAGAUUCCACACGCUCUUCCAUCAGCUCUUCCUGGCCGAGAAAGAGAAGAGUUUUUUAAGUUUGGAAAACUCCAAUUGGCAUGUCAUUGAAGGGGUGAGGAAUAUUCUCACAAGUCAUGGGGUGCGUACCCUGCCGACUUCUGUGCCGGGGCUCAGAAGGUACUUUCUGGCAUGUAGUCUGUGAGCCCCAGCAGGCAAACCCUUACGUGGAGGUGAGUGUGGUGAUCGGCCAGAAGGACAGGUGCCUUGGCGCCUUCUUUCCUUGUCUCUUCCUUUUUGCUCCUCUGUAUUUCUCAGAAAUAAAGUGCUCUUGUAAGAUGGA